UGCAGCGGCACUGCGCGCAUGUGCCGCCCGGCCACGGCGCGCAGCUGACGUGCUUAACGGAGGUGCACGACCCGACACAGCGCUGCGCGGACGUGCUCAACAUGCGGCUGAAGAUGGUGGCCGCUGCUUUGAAGGUGCGGCCGGUGGAGACGGUGCCCGAGCUGAUCGCGUCCGUGCGCGACUCGCCCAGCCGCGACUUCUUUGUGCUGCUCGUGUUCGGCAUCCUGGUCGUCAUGUUCUUCGGCGGCCUAUGCUGCGGCCGCGUCACCAAGAGGGCCAAAUACAUCCACAAGAUCAAGUAGGAGCGCGGCCACUCGGCGCUGCACAGAAACAUCGACCAUCAGCCGGGCGGACGGCGAGAGGCUGUGCUCGGCACGCGGAUUCGCAUAUCCAACGACGCAUCACUUGGGACGGGCUGGCAGCGACGGGCCAAAUCGCGCGGUGUGGGCUGUCAAGCACGUGCUGGCAUCAGCGUGUGGGCACGCUGCGAGGCUCAUCAGAGCGACGGCGCCGACAAGAUGGCCGCCGUCACGCUGGCGAUGGCCGCCGCCGGUGUGGCCCGGGCGGCGGGACAGCGACGGUCAUCGUGACGGUGUGCGUGUGUGUGCGUGACGGACUGCUGCGCCUCGGCUGUGGACUGCUGCGCCUCGGCUGUGGACUGCUGCGCCUCAGCUGUGGACUGCUGCGCCUCAGCUGUGGACUGUUGCGCCUCAGCUGUGGACUGCUGCGCCUCAGCUGUGGAAUGGUGCGCCUCACCUGUGGAAUGCUGCGCCUCAGCUGUGGAAUGCUGGGACGUUCUGCGCCCAGCGGCGCGCUGGCGCUGCCGCUCGUGCCCGCGCUCGUGCCCGCACUGGGAGUUGUCCGGGCCAGCGGUGGGGCGGGUGGCGAGCUGUUCUGACGCGCAAAAGUCUGCCUCGCGCCACCGGCGCCGGUGUGGGGUGGCGAGGCACCGCCGGCUGUGCAGCAUUCCUUCUCGUGCCUCGCUUCUGUUCGCAGCGGGACCGUUACCCGCGUGUUUUGUGGCUUUCCUUUGGUGAUCUGGUGGUGCUCCGUUGCGCUGUCCACGAAUGCUGUUCAACCUUGGGGCAUGUGGGCGCAGCACAUCAAAUCCGCAGUAUGGAUGCAUAUAAAGAAAUGUGGGUCUGAGGUAUGCA